CUGCUCCCCUCCUCCCCAGAUGUGACUGCCCUCCAAUUUCUCUUCAGAAAGGAGCAGACAACCAGAACAAUGCAAAGUACAAGGCAAGCAUCUACCUCUUUUGGGUUUGGAUCUCUAAGACCAUGAAGUGGAUCAUGAAGGUAUUUAUUUGAAAUUUCUCUUUCUGAAAAAGGUAAACACUCAUAACCUUAAGCCUUUAUCUUAUAACUGUGUUGGAUGUAUCUCAAGGGUUCUCAUGAGUUAUGCAAUUAUUUUUA
rnacentral:lncRNA from 1 species